CUCAUCUCUGUAACUUCAGCGGAAGAAACGCGUUUUUCCCCGCCACUGCAUUUGAGGAAUGGGAAAACCAAAAUCGUUCAUCGGGCCUGAGAAACCUUGAGAAGCAUAUUACCCUACAGUUGUUUUUUCAUCGAAAAGUUGAAGGAUUUCUGACAUCUCAAUUAGUAACGCAUCUGGAAUGUUUGCUCUCCAGGAAUAGAUGUACCCACCAAAAGCCUUGCUUGCAGCCACCUCCACGUCUCUCAACAUGCCUGAGUGCAGGGCUUAUGUUACAAGGAAUUCUCAAAGCUGUGUUAUCAAAGCUGUGAAAUCAAAGUCUCUACCCCUCUGAAGUUUACCCGGAUGGCCUGACUCAUCCCAGAGAUGGACUCCAAACCUCCCACUUUGCCUGGAAACCUUCAGAAUCUGGCUCCAACCCACCUAUUAUCUGAGGGUCAAGUCCUGCAUCAGAUUGUAUUUUCCAAUGUUGGCUGCAACAAGAUCUCGAUGUGAUCUUGACAUUCCUCCCAUAGAGUGGUGGAGUCUACGUCCCCUCUCCUGGAGACUGAGUGGAGCUUUGUGACUGCUGCAGCCAUUGGAGUAUGGCAGAAGUGCUGUUAUGUCACUUAUGAGAUUGGAUCAUAAAAAUGCCACACACUUCCUUCCUCUCUUGGAAUGCUGAGGCCAUGUUGUGAGGAAGUCCAAUGAGCCCCUGUGGAGAGACCAUAUAGAAUGACUACUUUGAGAUGUUCCAGCUUACAGCCCUGCUCGGCCCUAGCCAACAGCCAGCAUCUUUCACCAGACGUAUGAGUGACGACCCUCCAGAUGAUUCCAGCUUCCAGCCAGUGAAUCACAUCUAGCUUUCAAGUCUUCCCAGCCGAGGCCCCAGGCAUUGUGAA